UACGGAGGGUGCAAGCGUUAUCCGGAUUCACUGGGUUUAAAGGGUGCGUAGGCGGGCAGGUAAGUCAGUGGUGAAAUCUCCGGGCUUAACCCGGAAACUGCCGUUGAUACUAUCUGUCUUGAAUAUCGUGGAGGUAAGCGGAAUAUGUCAUGUAGCGGUGAAAUGCUUAGAUAUGACAUAGAACACCCAUUGCGAAGGCAGCUUACUACACGAUCAUUGACGCUGAGGCACGAAAGCGUGGGGAGCAAAACGG
rnacentral:rRNA from 1 species